rnacentral:rRNA from 1 species
GACGAACGCUGGCGGCGUGCCUAACACAUGCAAGUCGAACGAGAUCCAGUGCGGAGUAAUCCAAACGAAGAUCUAGUGGCGAACGGGUGCAUAACACGUGAGCAAUCUGCCCUGAAGACGGGGAUAACAGGGGGAAACCCCUGCUAAUACCCGAUACCUCUGCUGAACCGCAUGAUUCGGCAAAGAAAUGGAUUCCGCUUCAGGAGGAGCUCGCGGCCUAUCAGCUUGUUGGUGAGGUAACGGCUCACCAAGGCUUCGACGGGUAGCUGGUCUGAGAGGACGAUCAGCCACACUGGGACUGAGACACGGCCCAGACUCCUACGGGAGGCAGCAGUGGGGAAUAUUGCGCAAUGGGCGAAAGCCUGACGCAGCAACGCCGCGUGGAGGACGACGGUCUUCGGAUUGUAAACUCCUUUCAGCAGGACGAUUAUGACGGUACCUGCAGAAGAAGCCCCGGCCAACUACGUGCCAGCAGCCG